rnacentral:rRNA from 1 species
UACAGAGGGUGCGAGCGUUAAUCGGAAUUACUGGGCGUAAAGCGCACGUAGGCGGCUUGGUAUGUCGGGUGUGAAAUCCCCGGGCUCAACCUGGGAACUGCAUCCGAAACUGCCUUGCUAGAGUAUGGGAGAGGGAAGUGGAAUUUCCGGUGUAGCGGUGAAAUGCGCAGAUAUCGGGAGGAACACCAAUGGCGAAGGCAGCUCGCUGGGACGGUACUGACGCUGAGACGCGAAAGCGUGGGGAGCAAACAGG